rnacentral:rRNA from 1 species
ACAACCUACGGGGGGCAGCAGUGGGGAAUAUUGGGCAAUGGGCGCAAGCCUGACCCAGCAACGCCGCGUGAAGGAAGAAGGCUUUCGGGUUGUAAACUUCUUUUCUUGGGGACGAAGAAAGUGACGGUACCCAAGGAAUAAGCCACGGCUAACUACGUGCCAGCAGCCGCGGUAAUACGUAGGUGGCAAGCGUUAUCCGGAUUUACUGGGUGUAAAGGGCGUGUAGGCGGGAAAGCAAGUCAGAUGUGAAAACCAUGGGCUCAACCUGUGGCCUGCAUUUGAAACUGUUUUUCUUGAGUACUGGG